rnacentral:rRNA from 1 species
GACGAACGCUGGCGGCGUGCCUAAUACAUGCAAGUUGAGCGCUGAAGGUUGGUACUUGUACCGACUGGAUGAGCAGCGAACGGGUGAGUAACGCGUGGGGAAUCUGCCUUUGAGCGGGGGACAACAUUUGGAAACGAAUGCUAAUACCGCAUAAAAACUUUAAACACAAGUUUUAAGUUUGAAAGAUGCAAUUGCAUCACUCAAAGAUGAUCCCGCGUUGUAUUAGCUAGUUGGUGAGGUAAAGGCUCACCAAGGCGAUGAUACAUAGCCGACCUGAGAGGGUGAUCGGCCACACUGGGACUGAGACACGGCCCAAACGCCUACGGGAGGCAGCAGGAGGGAAUCUUCGGCAAUGGGCGAAAGUCUGACCGAGCAACGCCGCGUGAGUGAAGAAGGUUGUCGGGUCGUAAAACUCUGUUUGUAGGGAAGAACGUUGGUGAGAGUGGAAAGCUCAGCAAGUGACGGUAACUACCCAGAAAGGGACGGCUAACUACGUG